UACGAAGGUCGCAAGCGUUGUCCGGAAUUAUUGGGCGUAAAGAGCUCGUAGGCGGCUUGUCGCGUCGGCCGUGAAAACCUGCAGCUCAACUGCAGGCUUGCGGUCGAUACGGGCAGGCUAGAGUUCGGUAGGGGAGACUGGAAUUCCUGGUGUAGCGGUGAAAUGCGCAGAUAUCAGGAGGAACACCGGUGGCGAAGGCGGGUCUCUGGGCCGAUACUGACGCUGAGGAGCGAAAGCGUGGGGAGCGAACAGG
rnacentral:rRNA from 1 species